ensembl:lncRNA
AUUAGACCCGACCGUGCUCCAGGCCCGCGGAGCCCCGCUCGUGCUGCGGCGGCUGGGAUGGGGAAGGGGACGCCCUGAGCCGGGUGAGUCCGCGGCGUGGGCCGCGGGCAGGUGCGCAGGGCCUCCCGGGGUUCCGAGACGCCUCCCCGCAGCCGCCGGGCCUGAGCUCCGAGCAACACGGCGGCGCCGCCCGCUGCUGCCCGGGGCGCAGCCUCCUCCGGGCUGGACCGUCCCGCGGCAACCGGAGCCCCGUUCCUGCUCGCUCUUGCUUCCUCCCUCCUGCCUCUCCUGCCUCUGCCUUCCUGGGGGCGUAGGGGCGGCCGGCGCGGAGCCGGAGGCGAUGCUUACUCCUUCGCCCAGUGUUCGCACCGGCUGUGGCGAGGCCCCUCCGGACUGGAGGGCGGCAUGGGCGGCGGCGGCCGCGGAGCCAUGGAGCGGGAGCCCAGCGGAGGGGAGCGGGCCGGAGGCGGCUGGGGCCGGGCCCUGGCCCGGGCGCGCUCUCCUGCCCUUCCUGGCGGCUCCCUGUACCUGGAGACGCAGCGCCGGAGCCCGCGAUCUGUGGCGAGGCGCAGCAGCUUCGCAGUCCACGUGCGGCCGAGCCGCGUUUGUUUAUGGCGGACCCGCCUUCGGGCGGAGCACUGGCCGCCCGGGUCCCGGAGCUGGGGGGGGGGGGGGGGGGGGGGGGGGGGGGGGGACCGCGGCGGGGGCGGGGGCGGCGAAUCUCGCCUCCGACCCCGCCGCGGUCAUGGAGUCACAGGCGCGCCUCCGCGUCAAUGCCUCCAGGGACUCUCCCGGGAGAGACCCGCGCGCUCCCGGGCUCGGGGAAGUCGCGGUCAGCGUGAAAGGUGAGUUUCCUGAGAGAUGUGUGUCGCGGAGCCCAUUCAUUCCUUCCAGGAGGAGGAGACGAAGCCCACGGCCGAGGACUGCUCCGAGUCAGAGGUUCCGCCGCUCAGGGCCAGCGAAAGCCAGACUUCAGAUCUGA